rnacentral:rRNA from 1 species
CUCAUGCCCUUAUGACCUGGGCUACACACGUGCUACAAUGGCCGGUACAAAGAGUUGCGAUACCGCGAGGUGGAGCUAAUCUCAUAAAGCCGGUCUCAGUUCGGAUUGGAGUCUGCAACUCGACUCCAUGAAGUUGGAAUCGCUAGUAAUCGCGGAUCAGCAUGCCGCGGUGAAUACGUUCCCGGGCCUU